rnacentral:rRNA from 1 species
GACGAACGCUGGCGGCGUGCUUAACACAUGCAAGUCGAACGGUAAGGCCCUUCGGGGUACACGAGUGGCGAACGGGCGAGUAACACGUGGGUGAUCUGCCCUGCACUUCGGGAUAAGCCUGGGAAACUGGGUCUAAUACCGGAUAGGACCACUGCCUGCAUGGGUGGUGGUGGAAAGCUUUUGCGGUGUGGGAUGGGCCCGCGGCCUAUCCGCUUGGUGGUGGGGUGAUGGCCUACCAAGGCGACGACGGGUAGCCGGCCUGAGAGGGUGACCGGCCACACUGGGACUGAGAUACGGCCCAGACUCCUACGGGAGGCAGCAGUGGGGAAUAUUGCACAAUGGGCGCAAGCCUGAUGCAGCGACGCCGCGUGAGGGAUGACGGCCUUCGGGUUGUAAACCUCUUUCAGCACCGACGAAGCGCAAGUGACGGUAGGUGCAGAAGAAGGACCGGCCAACUACGUGCCAGCCGCCGCGGUAACAC